UACGAAGGGGGCUAGCGUUGCUCGGAAUCACUGGGCGUAAAGGGCUCGUAGGCGGCCAACUAAGUCGGAUGUGAAAUCCCCAGGCUCAACCUGGGAACUGCAUCCGAUACUGGAUGGCUUGAAUUCGGGAGAGGGAUGCAGAAUUCCAGGUGUAGCGGUGAAAUGCGUAGAUAUCUGGAGGAAUACCGGUGGCGAAGGCGGCAUCCUGGACCGACAUUGACGCUGAGGAGCGAAAGCCAGGGGAGCAAACGGG
rnacentral:rRNA from 1 species